rnacentral:tRNA from 1 species
UCCCUGGUGGUCCAGUGGUUAAGACUGUGCUUCCACUGCAUGGGGCACAGGUUCCAACCCUGCUCAGGGAA